AGCACACCACAACAAUUAAAGAAUUAAGAUAAACAUGAUGAAAAGAUCAAUUUCCUUUUUAAUUAAAAAAAGGUAGAAAUCACAUUGAGAGAGACACUGCAACACUAUAAGGAUUCCUCUAUCAUUACUCUAAUACUAUUAGAAUAUUGAUUUUGCUCUUCAUAAUAGUAAGAUUUCAAAGAAAAUUUAAAACUUGAGAUAUAUAAAAAUGAUACCAUGACUACCAUCUGGAAAAAACGUUGAUAAUUCUCCAACACAGAGACAGUGAAAGACAAGAGAGAAGUAUUGAAGAGCGAUGGCAGGGAAAAUGAAGUGGGAUGCAGGAGAGAACAGAAUAAUAAAGAAUUUUGGGAGAAAAAAAAUGAGUAUUUUAGAGAAAAUGAAAAAAAGACUUCCAAAGCAAGAAGCUGAAAAACAGAAAACAUCAUAGUGGUAGGGAGCAUGAACUAAAGAAUCUGAAUGUCGACCAAAAGAAAACUGCAGCAAAAGCACAAUCUUAGUAGCUGCAGCAUCCUCUGGAGAGAAAGAAAUCUGAUUCCAAGAUAAAAGGAGGCAAUUUUUUUCUUUUUGUUAAAGAUUGUUUUCAUUAAAGAUUCACAUUUGUGAUCAAAUAGCUUAUAUAUGCGUGAGUACUAUCUGGUCAAGAAAUCAAAGAAUGAAAAAUGCCUAUUCUGAGAAGAAGGCUCACCAUAUCUCCAUCAAAUCAAACAAAACUUAGUUUAUCAGAUCAUCUCUUCCACUUGGACCUAAAAGACACAUCUAGAGAUGAAGAGACAGACACAAGCAAAUCAUCAGAUGAUUUUUAUUUCCGUGGUCUUGUCUACAUAGUUGACCUGAAAUCAUUUCUAAACAAACUUCAAUAUUUUCCCCAAAGUAUCUCCUGCAGUCAAGAAGUACCUACAAAAUUUCCAUCCCAGGAAAAGUUAACUGCAGCUCACCAUCUUCAUCUCCUGAAACUAGAUACUUCAUACAACACAGUAGUUUCAUUGCCUUUUCUACUCCUGCCCCAGCUCAGUUUCAUCCUCAGAACUGUACUAAUACAUACAUGA
rnacentral:lncRNA from 1 species